AUUUCCCGUGCCAGGACUGGGCAACGCUCUCCCUGCAGCUCCUGAAAAUUCCAGUGCUGUUCAAUUCCAGCUGGAGAGAGCAGCAGAGAGUCCUGGAGGUUGCACCCGGAGCAGCAUUCCCGGGAUAUCCUCAUUCCCAGGGAACUUGGGGAGGCUCUGCCUUCCCAGGUCACCCCAAAAGAGCUUCUGGAGUCUCUCCCUGCACACAAAACCUCCCCGUGGGAAUUCUCCUUCCCUGUUUUCCGCUCCCUGGCACAGGCAGCCGCGCUCCCUCGGCCGCACGGACGGAUUGGAUUCCCUGAGAAAAUUCCAGAGGCGCUUCCAGUGUUUCAAAGGAAAAUGAAGCCCCUUUGGAAAUGUGAAGCUCCGAGAUAAUGACCGGAUCGCUCCAGGACUGGAUGGGAACAGCUCUGCUGGGAAGGUGCCGGAGGGCCACACCUUUGGAGCCAUCCUUUGGGAACGAGCUGCGGAUUGAUGCUCCCGGAUGGUUUUGGUUUCCGGUUCUUCCUGGAGAAAAUCCACUCCAGCUCGGGAAUAAUCCGCACCCAAACAGGGAUCCUGGGAAGUGAUGGAUGGGGAAGGAAUGGAGAAAGCCUUGUCAAGCCGAGCGUGGUGGCGGUGGAGGAACUUCCCGGCACCGGGCGUUUUUCCCUGCACCAUCCCCUCCGCCCCAGCCCGUGACGCCGGCUGAAAGGAACAUUCCGGCCCUCGCCUUUCACCCCGCAGCCCAUCAAUAAAAGCUGGAAGAGCUGGAGGAGUGGGAAUACU
rnacentral:lncRNA from 1 species